UGCCGUUGAAACUGUUUUCCUUGAGUCAUUAUGAAGUGGUUAGAACAUGUAUUGUAGCGGUGAAAUGCAUAGAUAUUACAUAGAAUACCGAUUGCGAAGGCAGAUCACUAAUAAUGCACUGACGCUGAGGGACGAAAGCGUAGGUAGCGAACAGGAUUAGAUACCCUGGUAGUCUACGCCGUAAACGAUGGUUACUAGCUGUCCGGACCAAUUGAGGUCUGGGUGGCUAAGCGAAAGUGAUAAGUAACCCACCGUGGGGAGUACGUUCGCAAGAAUGAAACUCAAAGGAAUUGACGGGGGCCCGCACAAGCGGUGGAGCAUGUGGUUUAAUUCGAUGACACGCGAGGAACCUUACCAGGGCUUAAAUGCAGUCUGACAGGUCUGGAAACAGACCCUCCUUCGGGCAGAUUGCAAGGUGCUGCAUGGUUGUCGUCAGCUCGUGCCGUGAGGUGUCAGGUUAAGUCCUAUAACGAGCGCAACCCCUGUUGUUAGUUGCCAGCGAGUAAUGUCGGGAACUCUAACAAGACUGCCGGUGCAAACCGUGAGGAAGGUGGGGAUGACGUCAAAUCAUCACGGCCCUUACGUCCUGGGCCACACACGUGCUACAAUGGUAGGGACAGAGAGCAGCCACUGGGCGACCAGGAGCGAAUCUAUAAACCCUAUCUCAGUUCGGAUCGGAGUCUGCAAC
rnacentral:rRNA from 1 species